rnacentral:tRNA from 1 species
GCCUCAGUGGCGCAGUGGCAGUGCGCUCGUCUGCGACACCGGAGGUCCCGGGUUCGAAUCCCGGCCAGGGCA